UCUAGAGAACAAGAAUCAUACAGUGGUCAAGAUAAUUGAUCAGAAUCACUGGCAGAUUAUAUUCAUCUCUGCUUUCAUAAAUGCUCUUCUGAUCAUUGUGAUCAUAGGACUAUUGAAGCUUCUUGUUGAUGGAAGAAACAGAGACAACCUGAAACAAUUUCAAGAUACAAACCUGCAGAAUCUUCAAGUUAUGGAUUUCGAACAACCUCAAGACUCGAGCCAAACACUGAUACAUUACAUGAAAAUAUAAAUUGCAGUUGUAACAAAAUAAUUAAGCCACAGCACAAAGGAAAUGUUCCUGACCACAAGAGAGCAGUGUUGAGCUAGAAAACCAAGAACGAACCAAACAAACAAAGGCAAUAAAUGUUCAAAAUCUGUUUGCAUUUCCAUUGUGUUGUGAAUCUUUGUUUGCUCAAUGUGGGCAUGUGUUUUGUGUAAGAACUACAUCUAAGGAUGUGGAUUUUGUCUGUUAGUUAUAUUUAGGUCAUAUAUUAAAAAAAGAC